AAGGUUGAUGAAGAGGAUGUCGUUUCACACACCCUCGCCGGGCUCGAUGAGGAGUUCGAACCGGUUGUGUCUGCUAUAUGUUCACGGGCCCGUGACUGCAUCGGAGCUGUACUUGCAGCACCUAAGCUUCGAGC
rfam:Triticum urartu cultivar G1812 contig421047, whole genome shotgun sequence.